UACGGGGGGGGCAAGCGUUGUUCGGAAUUACUGGGCGUAAAGGGCUCGUAGGUGGCCAACUAAGUCAGACGUGAAAUCCCUCAGCUUAACUGGGGAACUGCGUCUGAUACUGGAUGGCUUGAGUUUGGGAGGGGAGACUGGAAUUCCUGGUGUAGCGGUGAAAUGCGCAGAUAUCAGGAGGAACACCGGUGGCGAAGGCGGGUCUCUGGGCCGAUACUGACGCUGAGGAGCGAAAGCAUGGGUAGCGAACAGG
rnacentral:rRNA from 1 species